rnacentral:rRNA from 1 species
CAGAAGCCGCGGGAAUACGAAGGGUGCAAGCGUUACUCGGAAUUACUGGGCGUAAAGCGUGCGUAGGUGGUGGUUUAAGUCCGUUGUGAAAGCCCUGGGCUCAACCUGGGAAUUGCAGUGGAUACUGGGUCACUAGAGUGUGGUAGAGGAUAGUGGAAUUUCCGGUGUAGCAGUGAAAUGCGUAGAGAUCGGAAGGAACAUCUGUGGCGAAGGCGACUAUCUGGGCCAACACUGACACUGAGGCACGAAAGCGUGGGGAGCAAACAGGAUUAGAGACCCCCGUAGUCCCUGUCUCUUAUAC